GGUAACUCAAGCUCAAUUCAUUUCAUUCAUUUGUAUCUGCUUCCCCUAUUAGUGUGAUUUGAGAGCACCCACAGAUGUGCCAAGGACACCUGAUCCCAGGAGCUUACAACCAAGAUGGAGACAAAACAGUUUCCCUGUGAUUCCAGCUGACCUCAAAUGAUGAGGAUUCUCUGCUUGCUGGUCUCUCAGGCCUCUCCCUGUCCACUUCAGCAAAUGGCCAGCGUAUGACUCGAGAUCUCAGCUACUGCCUAGAGAGAGGCGGGACAUGCCGAUACAAUGACUGCUAUGAUGGUGAAGUGCAGAUCGGCACCUGCUAUCAUCAUACCAUGUUAUGCUGCCGGGAUUAGGAGGUGAUGCUAAAGAGAUGUACAACAGCCACCGAAACCUCCCCUCUUCUUCUUUUUUAAUUAAAAAUCAACUCUUGUUAAGUUACAUUUCCUUAAUAAUAAUAAUAAUUUAAGAAAUGCAUUCACACCAUGAGCACCUAGCUGGACCUGUGACAGUCAUGUGCUGAAUGUUGCUUACAUAUUGUAUAUGUAAAACAAUAAAUCCUGAUUGGCUGCCAAUGAGAGUCGGCAAAGAGGAAUUAUCUUUUGACACAGAUGACAUCAUUGGCUGACCUUGCUCCGGAAUUUAGUCUUGUUUUCCUCUGAGGAAGCAGACUAUAGAAAAUUCCGGCUUAUCACAUGACUCUU